GAUGGAACCCGUGUCCCAUAGCCCCCAAGAUGACACAGAUCCCAUUGCUCCACAGUAGGAACUCUAAAUUCUAUUAACUCUUAACCAGAACUCACUUCUGAUGAUUCUGCAAUAUGAGGAACAAGUAGGGAUUGGGUCUUAGGACCAGCCUGCUGCCAUGGGAAUAUACUAACAAAGUACAAUUAAGCUUUCAAAUUGGAAGAUGAAUGUUUCUUAAACUCAGGCCUUACCUGAACCCUGAUCCUCUCCCCAUACCUUGGAGAAUCAGAAGGUACUGGGUUUAGAAAGGUAAUUAUGUGAUUUUUUUUUUUUUUUUCCCUCCAGCAUUUCUAGAAAGCUGCUGACCUUAUCCUGGAAAAAGGUGUUCAAAACACUUUGUACCAGAGUUCCUGUUGUGGCACAGCAGAAACAAACCUGACCAGUAUUCAUGAGGAUGCAGGUGAACAGCAAAGUGAUUCCUGUGUAUCUGAAUCUGUUCUCUUGACUCCCAGCCAAGUGAUCUUUCCAAAUGGCCAUCUUUCCCAGAGGUUGUUCCUAAAGACUGCU
rnacentral:lncRNA from 1 species